rnacentral:rRNA from 1 species
GUUGUGCCCUUGAGGCGUGGCUUCCGGAGCUAACGCGUUAAGUCGACCGCCUGGGGAGUACGGCCGCAAGGUUAAAACUCAAAUGAAUUGACGGGGGCCCGCACAAGCGGUGGAGCAUGUGGUUUAAUUCGAUGCAACGCGAAGAACCUUACCUACUCUUGACAUCCAGAGAACUUAGCAGAGAUGCUUUGGUGCCUUCGGGAACUCUGAGACAGGUGCUGCAUGGCUGUCGUCAGCUCGUGUUGUGAAAUGUUGGGUUAAGUCCCGCAACGAGCGCAACCCUUAUCCUUUGUUGCCAGCGGUUAGGCCGGGAACUCAAAGGAGACUGCCAGUGAUAAACUGGAGGAAGGUGGGGAUGACGUCAAGUCAUCAUGGCCCUUACGAGUAGGGCUACACACGUGCUACAAUGGCAUAUACAAAGAGAAGCGACCUCGCGAGAGCAAGCGGACCUCAUAAAGUAUGUCGUAGUCCGGAUUGGAGUCUGCAACUCGACUCCAUGAAGUCGGAAUCGCUAGUAAUCGUGGAUCAGAAUGCCACGGUGAAUACGUUCCCGGGCCUUGUACACACCGCCCGUCACACCAUGGGAGUGGGUUGCAAAAGAAGUAGGUAGCUUAACCUUCGGGAGGGCGCUUACCACUUUGUGAUUCAUGACUGGGGUGAAGUCGUAACAAGGUAACCGUAGGGGAACCUGC